CACCGGCAGUUCUAGUGGUAAUAAUUUUUAUUGGGCCUAAAGCGUCCGUAGCCGGUUUAAUAAGUCUCUGGUGAAAUCCUGUAGCUUAACUGUGGGAGUUGCUGGAGAUACUAUUAGACUUGAGACCGGGAGAGGUUAGAGGUACUCCCAGGGUAGAGGUGAAAUUCUGUAAUCCUGGGAGGACCGCCUGUUGCGAAGGCGUCUAACUGGAACGGUUCUGACGGUGAGGGACGAAAGUUAGGGGCGCGAACCGGAUUAGAUACCCGGGUAGUCCUAACUGUAAACGAUGCGGACUUGGUGUUGGGGUGGCUUUGAGCUGCUCCAGUGCCGAAGGGAAGCUGUUAAGUCCGCCGCCUGGGAAGUACGGUCGCAAGACUGAAACUUAA
rnacentral:rRNA from 1 species